UACCCGCAGCACAAGUGGUGGUCAUUAUUAUUGGGCCUAAAGCGUCCGUAGCUGGCUUGUUAGAUGCCUGGGUAAAUCGAUGCGCUCAACGCAUCGAACUCCGGGUAGACCGGCAAGCUUGGGACCGGGAGAGGCGUGAGCUACUCGAGGGGUAGGGGUAAAAUCCUGUAAUCCUUCGGGGAGGACCAGUGGCGAAGGCGUCACGCUAGAACGGCUCCGACAGUGAGGGACGAAGCCCUGGG
rnacentral:rRNA from 1 species